rnacentral:ncRNA from 2 species
UACUUAUCCAGAGAGGUAGAGGGACUGGCCCUAUGAAACCUCAGCAGCGGGUUCUGAAAGAAGAAUACCGUGCUAAUUCCAGCAAGCAACCAAAGCUUGAAAGAUAAGUG